GCCCUGCGCACACACGGCAUGGAAAUGUCAGCCAUUCCCAGGCUCAGCUCCACCAAAGAACAAAUUUAUGCAGAGCCACGAUGGAAAUUCAUUUCCCUGAGUUUUGCAGUGCUGGAAUUUCACGGUGUCUCCUGUUACAGUUCAGUGGCAAUUUUAUAAGAUCCAAAUCCCACCUGUUCACAAGGCUCAGCAGGAGGCAAAUUUCCACUUCCCAAAUCCCUAGUGAGGAAUACACCAGGCACGGUGCAAGGGCCAGGCUCUGUCCCAGCAAUCUGCAACCCAACACCGGCAAACUCGGAGCCAGGACAUCAGCAAGGAGGAAGGGGAGAGUGUCUGCAACAGGAAGGAAGAGGAGAGCAAUAAACACAGUUGCAGGAGCAAAAAGGUUGGUGGAAGACACUGGAAAACAGCGAGUGACUGGGCGAGAGCAGACAGGAUGGAGAAGAGGCAGCCUGCAGGACAGCAAGAGGGGACAGGACAGACAGUGGGAAGGAAAAUAAACUCAGUUUUUAAUACGAUUCACUGUGCCGAGGCCUACAAGCACCAGCCCACGCUGGGUGUGGCACACCAGGAGAGCUCUGUACUGCUCCCAGCUGGCACAGCAGCACCUCUCUGUGAUCCUGAACCCUUCCUGGUGGCACCAGGAGGGUAAAGAGUCAGGC
rnacentral:lncRNA from 12 species